rnacentral:rRNA from 1 species
UACAGAGGGUGCAAGCGUUAAUCGGAAUUACUGGGCGUAAAGAGCACGUAGGUGGGACUGUAAGUCAUUUGUGAAAGACCAGGGCUUAACCUUGGGGAGUCAAGUGAGACUGUAGACCUAGAGUACAGGAGAGGGGAGUGGAAUUUCCGGUGUAGCGGUGAAAUGCGUAGAUAUCGGAAGGAACACCCGUGGCGAAGGCGGCUCUCUGGACUGAUACUGACACUGAGGUGCGAAAGCGUGGGGAGCAAACAGG